rnacentral:rRNA from 1 species
GAUGAACGCUGGCGGCGUGCCUAAUACAUGCAAGUCGAGCGAACAGACGAGGAGCUUGCUCCUCUGACGUUAGCGGCGGACGGGUGAGUAACACGUGGAUAACCUACCUAUAAUACUGGGAUAACUUCGGGAAACCGGAGCUAAUACCGGAUAAUAUAUUGAACCGCAUGGUUCAAUAGUGAAAGACGGUUUUGCUGUCACUUAUAGAUGGAUCCGCGCCGCAUUAGCUAGUUGGUAAGGUAACGGCUUACCAAGGCAACGAUGCGUAGCCGACCUGAGAGGGUGAUCGGCCACACUGGAACUGAGACACGGUCCAGACUCCUACGGGAGGCAGCAGUAGGGAAUCUUCCGCAAUGGGCGAAAGCCUGACGGAGCAACGCCGCGUGAGUGAUGAAGGUCUUCGGAUCGUAAAACUCUGUUAUUAGGGAAGAACAAAUGUGGAAGUAACUAUGCACGUCUUGACGGUACCUAAUCAGAAAGCCACGGCUAACUACGUG